AUGGAAACCUAGCUAGUCACGGAAGAUGUUUCUGCAGCUUCAACGUGACCAGACUUGUAGUAAUUUCCACCUCUUUUAAUACCUUUUCAC